rnacentral:sRNA from 1 species
UAAUAUAAAAAGAAGCCCUGUGAAUAACAGAACUUCUCAUGUAGAGCCGUAAAAGACGGUGGCAUGAUAAUAAUUACUAAAAA